UCUUCCAUGCAAAAGAACUGUGCUUAAAUUACAGAAUCCAGGUCUCCUGGUUUAUGUAAUAAUGCUAGCGGAGUAGAAGUAGGUGGAAGAAGAGCAACUGCCCUGACCCGUCAAUGAAACGUGGUUGGACCUCUUUCUUAAUGUCCAGUGGCCUUCGUUUCAAGGUUCAGUGCGACAGUC
ensembl:snoRNA